AUAUAUAUUAUCAACCUUCACUUGUUGAGUGGUUUGGAUGUGGGGGUUUGCUGGCCUCUUUAUAAAAAGAGUUCAGCUCUCCUGAAAUGCAUUAGCAGAAACCAUCCUGUUCAUUGGUGUGAUAAUUAUCUACGCUAUUGAAUGUGGAGCAGGUUCGGCUUUCUAACUGUCCUUGGACAAAUUUUAUCAUUAAU
rnacentral:misc_RNA from 1 species